CGUCCGCCCCCUCGCGCCCCGUUCGCGGAGCGCGCGGGGGACCGGCCGUCUAUCUAAAUGUCAUAACGACUCUCGGCAACGGAUAUCUCGGCUCUCGCAUCGAUGAAGAACGUAGCGAAAUGCGAUACUUGGUGUGAAUUGCAGAAUCCCGUGAACCAUCGAGUCUUUGAACGCAAGUUGCGCCCGAAGCCGUCAGGCCGAGGGCACGUCUGCCUGG
rnacentral:rRNA from 1 species